rnacentral:rRNA from 1 species
CCCUUAGAUGUUCUGGGCCGCACGCGCGCUACACUGACGAAUGCAACGAGUUUCUUUCCUUGGCCGACAGGCCUGGGCAAUCUUUGAACAUCGAUCGUGAUCGGGAUAGAUUCUUGUAAUUUUUGAUCUUAAACGAGGAAUUCCUAGUAAACGCAAGUCAUCAGCUUGCAUUGAUUACGUCCCUGCCCUUUGUACACACCGCCCGUCGCACCUACCGAUUGAAUGGUCCGGUGAAAUCUCCGGACUGGCGUGAGUCGGAGCAAUCUGACAAACGCCGGAAAGUUGAUUAAACCUUACCAUUUAGAGGAAGGUGAAGUCGUAACA